rnacentral:tRNA from 1 species
CUAGACUGGUAGGCUUUUACCCUACGAAAACUUAGUUAACAGCUAAACACCCUAAACAACUGGCUUCAAUCUA